AGUGAACGCUGGCGGUAGGCCUAACACAUGCAAGUCGAACGGCAGCACAGUAAGAGCUUGCUCUUACGGGUGGCGAGUGGCGGACGGGUGAGGAAUACAUCGGAAUCUACUUUUUCGUGGGGGAUAACGUAGGGAAACUUACGCUAAUACCGCAUACGACCUACGGGUGAAAGCAGGGGAUCUUCGGACCUUGCGCGAUUGAAUGAGCCGAUGUCGGAUUAGCUAGUUGGCGGGGUAAAGGCCCACCAAGGCGACGAUCCGUAGCUGGUCUGAGAGGAUGAUAAGCCACACUGGAACUGAGACACGGUCCAGACUCCUACGGGAGGCAGCAGUGGGGAAUAUUGGACAAUGGGGGCAAGCCUGAUCCAGCCAUACCGCGUGGGUGAAGAAGGCCUUCGGGUUGUAAAGCCCUUUUGUUGGGAAAGAAAAGCAGCAGGUUAAUACCCCGCUGUUCUGACGGUACCCAAAGAAUAAGCACCGGCUAACUUCGUG
rnacentral:rRNA from 1 species